AGUGAACGCUGGCGGUAGGCCUAACACAUGCAAGUCGAACGGCAGCACAGUAAGAGCUUGCCCUUACGGGUGGCGAGUGGCGGACGGGUGAGGAAUACAUCGGAAUCUACUUUUUCGUGGGGGAUAACGUAGGGACACUUACGCUAAUACCGCAUACGACCUACGGGUGAAAGCAGGGGAUCUUCGGACCUUGCGCGAUUGAAUGAGCCGAUGUCGGAUUAGCUAGUUGGCGGGGUAAAGGCCCACCAAGGCGACGAUCCGUAGCUGGUCUGAGAGGAUGAUCAGCCACACUGGAACUGGGACACGGUCCAGACUCCUACGGGAGGCAGCAGUGGGGAAUAUUGGACAAUGGGCGCAAGCCUGAUCCAGCCAUGCCGCGUGAGUGAAGAAGGCCUUCGGGUUGUAAAGCCCUUUUGUUGGGAAAGAAAAGCAGCAUGUUAAUACCCCGCUGUUCUGACGGUACCCAAAGAAUAAGCACCGGCUAACUUCGUG
rnacentral:rRNA from 1 species